AGUUGGGGAUACUGCUGCCCGAUGGGGUCGAUCGACACCACUGUUUACCGGACGACCACAUCGUCGUCCGCCUGGCUUUUCGCGACCGUCCGGCCUGCCCGGCGGCAGGCGUGGGCAUAAGGCGGUUACGCGCAUGGUGACGACAAUCCUCGCACGCUAUUUCGCCGGACGUUUCGUGAUCGCAUCGAUCAUGACCUUCGCCGCGAUCUUCGUGCUGAUCAUUACAGUUGAUUAUAUUGAGUUGAUGCGCCGCGCCGGCGGCCUGCCACAUGUGUCGGGUCUG
rnacentral:misc_RNA from 1 species